AAACGUUUGAAAUCAGUCAUGCGUGCGGGUAAUCAGCUUGGCCUUUGGGUCUUGUGCACUUUCUCGUAUCGCAGGUCAGCGUCGGUUUUGUUUGCCGGAUAAAUGCCAAGGGAAUGUAGCUCUACCUUUCACGAGGAGGGGUGUUAUAGACCUGGUAAAUACGGUGGUCGAGACCGAGGUCUGCAGUCGAUGC
rnacentral:rRNA from 1 species